GGAGGUUCGAUUUGGCUCCAGAUGAACGCGGCGGCGUGGCUUACCCAUGCAAGUCGAACGGAUCCACCCGCCUUUGCUGGUGGUGAGAGUGGCGAACCGGUGAGUAAUGCGUGACCGACCUGCCCCAUACACCGAAUAGCUCCUGAACGGGGUGGUAAUGCCGGAUGCUCCAGUGNAUCGCAUGUUCUUCUGGGAAAGCUUUCGCGGUAUGGGAUGGGGUCGCGUCCUAUCAGCUGAACGGCGGGGUAACGGCCCACCGUGGCUUCGACGGGUAGCCGGCCUGAGAGGGCGACCGGCCACAUUGGGACUGAGAUACGGCCCAGACUCCUACGGGAGGCAGCAGUGGGGAAUAUUGCACAAUGGGCGCAAGCCUGAUGCAGCGACGCCGCGUGAGGGAUGGAGGCCUUCGGGUUGUAAACCUCUUUUAUCGGGGAGCAAGCGAGAGUGAGUUUACCCGUUGAAUAAGCACCGGCUAACUACGUGCCAGCAGCCGCGGUAAUACGUAGGGUGCAAGCGUUAUCCGGAAUUAUUGGGCGUAAAGGGCUCGUAGGCGGUUCGUCGCGUCCGGUGUGAAAGUCCAUCGCUUAACGGUGGAUCCGCGCCGGGUACGGGCGGGCUGGAGUGCGGUAGGGGAGACUGGAAUUCCCGGUGUAACGGUGGAAUGUGUAGAUAUCGGGAAGAACACCAAUGGCGAAGGCAGGUCUCUGGGCCGUUACUGACGCUGAGGAGCGAAAGCGUGGGGAGCGAACAGGAUUAGAUACCCUGGUAGUCCACGCCGUAAACGGUGGAUGCUGGAUGUGGGGCCCGUUCCACGGGUUCCGUGUCGGAGCUAACGCGUUAAGCAUCCCGCCUGGGGAGUACGGCCGCAAGGCUAAAACUCAAAGAAAUUGACGGGGGCCCGCACAAGCGGCGGAGCAUGCAGAGUAAUUCGAUGCAACGCGAAGAACC
rnacentral:rRNA from 1 species